UCGAACCAGGGUAUCCUACAUUAUAGGGGUUCUUUACCAGCUGAACUACAGAAAUUCCCUUAUUCAGGCUACUUUCUAUAAAAAUGAAAUCUAUACUAUUAAGAAUGUACUUAAGCCAUAUGUAUCUUCUCUCUCUCAUGUACCUGUAUUGAUCUAUCAAUUAUUGAUUUAUUGAUCUGUGACCAUCAAUAAUGACUAUCUAGUCAUCUAUCUUUCUCAAUAUCAGAGAAAAUGUUUUAUUGCAAUUUAUUCUGUUCUGCGAAUUGUUCUUUUAAUAUUGGAGUCAAAUUAUGGAUAUGUGAAUUUGUUUAUACAAAGAAUCAGAAUGAAAGUUGAAGUUGAAAAUAGAUAUAUUUGCUUACUAAUAAGACUGUUCAAAAGGAAGAAAACUGGUGGAAAAGGGGAAAAUGUCUAAAAAUGCCUAAAAUAUUCUGACCUUUACUCCUGUAUAACCUCAUGUUUUCUAAGAUUUUUUUUCUCUUUCUCUCCAGGUCCUCUUACUCAAUUUUUUGGUAGCCUCCUUGGCUACCUCUUACUUACAUCUACCUCUUACUUUUUGGUGAUUUCCACAGUUACUUCCAAGGCCCACUUUCCCUUCCUUUUUCUUUCCAUUUCUUCUUUCCUUUCUUCCUCCCCACACUCUCCAAGGAUGAUCUUAUUCCCUUUUUUGGCUUAACUACCAUUUAUUGUAGACCAUCAUUAACUCCACAAACAUUUACUGAGUGCUUUCCAUGUGCCAGACAUUCAUCUAAGAGCUGGGGAUAUGGUUAUAGCUUAACAUUUUUAGUGGUUUUAUGCGUAUGAAUUUUAUUUUCAACUGGCAGUGAUCACCAGAGAAAUUCAAAUAUUAUUGUAUAUAUUUAUAUUAACAUAUGUGUCCUGAAGAUGACGCAUGUUUAGGAAAGAAUAAGUAACUGGUUAGCAGCCUGAGCCAGCAGACUUUUCCUACCUCUUAACUUGGAAACAUAUCUAUUUAUCCUUGGAAUUAAGGUAGCAUGAUUGAUGAGAACAUACUUUUCCAUUUUGACGAUUAUUGCACCGUUUUGAAUGCAGUUGGGAAGUCCUCGAUGAUGACAGUUACUAACGGCAGAAAGGCUAUUUGAAGUGGAUGUCAAGAGGGGAAGAACUAGGAAGUGUCAUCUUACUAUGGUCUUCUUGGCUCUCGUUGUACUGGAUCACUGUGAGCCAGUUUCCAGACUUGAGAUGAUCUUGAUUGUCUUCUGUCUCAGACUGAAGUUAUUUGGUAAUGGUAACAAGGACUUUCCAGAGAAAUAACUAGGGGAAAUACCAUAAAACUGUUUAUGGAGUUGAAAGCAGAUGUCUUUGGUGAUGUUCAUAUUGGGCAAAGACUGUGCCUCAUUUUGGAUUGUAUAGAAGGACAUUCUUGGCUUCCAGCAAAUUCUAACCCUAAUGUAAUUUGCAAAAUUAUUUGGUUUGGAAAGAUAUAGAAAAGUCAAUAUGAAAUCAUCAUGUAACUUUUACUUUCAAUCUGAGGAGCUUAAAAGUCAACAUGAAGCUCAUCCCACUGGUACUGUUUAAAAAAAAAAAUUCAUUUAAAAAUAAAAAUAAAAAGGGUCCAUCUGCAUCAAAAUGAAAAGCUACCAUUUCUCCUAAACUUUGUGCAUACUUUGUAUCACCAUGCUGUUUAAUCCUUUUCUUUUUGAAUUCAAAACACUGAAGGGCUUUGUUCUAAAACUAUCUUUAACCAAAGCAGCUGGUCUGUUACACACAGAAAGAGUGCUUAACUUUUACAAAGCUUAGCAUUCUCUUCUUAUAGCCAAGUUCUCCUGUUCUCUAAUGCCAGUCAUUCCUAAUUAUCUUCAACUGUGUCACACUGUCUCCUGAGGUGCUCUCUGAUAUUUUAAUACCGAAGACCUGUAGGCCAAUUAUUUAAUCACACCCUGACCUAGUGAUGUAUUUCCUUUUUGUUCUGCCUAGGCAAGAAGUUUCCUGUUAAACUGAAGAGAAACACAAGUCCCUUUGUGAUAGAAAGCACUCCUGGCUGCUAUCAAGAGUAAGAAAUACCGUCCUGAGACAGAUGUCUGUUUCCUCUGCCAGGCUGGUGUGGAAGCCGACCCGUGUUUCCUCCCCCAUCCGAAUGCUGGGAAGCAGCAAGGAGGUAUCAAGCAUUCUGCCUAAAACAUGUUUUCUCACCCCAGUGCUCUUGCCACUUCCAACGUCUUUAAAAAUAACAGCAAAAUGGCUCUGGAAGUAGAUGGCAUUCAUGUGAGAUGAAGAAAACCGAGUCUGGGGGAGUUUAAGUCAUUAGUCUGAGGAAAAGGCAGAAUUGAACCAAAGCUUGAACUUGAAGCAUAUACGAUCUUCCCUACUUAUCUCUUGGUUGCUUAAACACUUUGCUAAGAAGAGAGCAUUGUAAGAAGAAAUUAAAAAAUUGCAGCACCGGAAGCUCAAGUCAAUUCUAUUGGAAGCUGGUCUUUUUUUUUUCCAGAAGGUUCUGGAUGGAACAGACUGGACUCUUUCAAUAAGGGUUUUAAUAUGCAAUUUAAUUUACAAUAGAAUGUCCUAUAUGACUACAAAAUGAAAGAGAAGUAAAUGCUAGAGAUAUUUCUUAGGACUUUUGGGUGUCAAAACACUGAAAUUAGGUGCUCCAGGAGCUUGGGAAUCAGAGCCUCUAGAUAGUGGGGCCCACUCAGCAUAUUAGUAAUGAUGUUCCUGGACUGGGUAGAGGGUCUCCAGGCUUUAAAGGCAAGUAUGGUGAAGCAAGUACCCUUGAGGGUCUUCCUUUGGUAAUUAUAUUUUUCACUACUCUGGUGAAGGUUCUUUCUGGAACUUUUUUGGGUGUCAGAAGGUGUUGGAUGAGCAGUUCUAAGAUGAUAAAUCUACUGUAGCAUUCCAAUUUCCCUAGAUUUUAUACCAAUGGAGCCUUGGUGUUUUGUCUUGGUUUAGUGUGGGCUACCAGGUUUUGGUUAAUUUAUCAGGCUAACUCUUACAGCCACUCAGGAUGGUGCAUUCAAUCCAGGAUCUUGGCUUCCAGCUCUCGUAUCAAUGACUUCAGUCUUGUCCAAUGUUACAUUCCUCCCAUCCCUUAGAACCCACUUCCUUACAUGCUUCUCAGGUUUCUGUCUAUAUAGACUGACAGAAUCUUGCAAUAUUUUGAUGUUACUGUCAUUUUCUCAUGGCUUACACUGCAGCUCGGGCUGAUGAGACUUGAGUCUGGUUGGAAGUCUAGAAGCAAGGAGAGGUAGUGAGGGUCUUAGGGGAAUCAACAGUCCCUUGCAAGCCAAAUACCUCAAUGAAAGCUCUCAUAGAGUUCUUAGACAAGGGGAUCCUGACCUCAGAGAUGAAGAGCAUCUUCCUGCAAAGGAUCCUCAGCAGAAUUGGGGGCAGGGCACUCAUGGUCUUCAGCUUCACUAGAAUUUGUUCAUGUGUCCCAAUUCCAAUUUUUACUUUCUCUUAAGGUCCUAACUUUAACAUAAGAAACCCUUCAGGAUGGUGAAUUCAGUUUGCCUUGUAAUUAAGUUACCAGAAAGAUUUGGUUUUGUGUUUGUUUUUCAGAACUUUUGGCCCUGUGUCUAUAGGAAGAAAGAUAAUUUGUAAUGAUGUCAUUCAAGCAUUCUGAUAGCUUGGGCUGGGAAUUCAAAGUCCUGAAUUCAUCAUUUCCCCUCUAAGUUCUCGAUUUUAUUUAGAAGCAACUAACUGAUUCCAUGCUACAUCUUAUUUCCACUAAAAUAUUUUUUGACGUGGAUGACUUGGUUACCCAAGCCCAGGUAUCUACAGGUGAUAACCUAACUCAUUCUUUUGCCACUACUUAGUACACAUGCUUCAGUUCUUUCAAAAACAGUAUCAGUCAUCUACUACGUGUCAGAGACUCUUUUGGUUUUCUGGAUUUAUGCCAUAACCAAGACAGAAACAAUCCCUACUCUCAUUUAGCUUAGUUCUAAGGGGACAGACAGAUAGAUUAAAAAUAAAUUUUAUUAAAUUUUCAAGAAUUUCAGUACUUUGUUGGGAAAUAAAACUGGUUAAAGAGACAGAUACUGACAGGAAGGAACGCUUUUAGGUCUGGUGGCAAUAAACACAGACAUUAGCUCAUAUUAGUAAAAGUGUUUAAGAAUAAAAAUAAGUAUCAUCAGUGCCCCUAACUUUGGAGACAAACUGAAGUACUGAAUGUACUGCUAUUUUUGACUUUUUCCCGAGCAUGGUGAGUUGUUUGGGAAAUGAUUCAGUAGUUAUUUGUAGUUCCUAAAUUCUCAACAGCAGUUGCCUCCUGAUAUGUGUCACUAUGUAUUCUGAGUUGACAUCUGCUAUCUGAAUCACCAAAAUAGUGCCUUGUUUUAAAAUUUAUCCACCAUUGGCUUAUGUUUUAUCUUACUCUAGGCCAUGUUAUCACUACAUGUGACAUCUCUGUAUAUGUGUUUGUGAAACUGGGAUAAAGUUGGCAAAACUUGAGAUGGAGGAAGCUCUCUAUGAAACAUGUUUUUGCCUUGGUAGAACAGGAGGCAUAAGCACGUUGGAAAUAGAGGGAAGAAGAGAGGCGAAGAAAUACUGGGGAAAUAGGAUCUCACAAAGCAAAGUCAGAUACAAGUUGGGAAACUUAAAUGCCAUGCAGGCAAGAGUCUUAGGAGUUGAGACAGCUAUCGACUUUUCAUCAUAGUUUUGGGUCCCCAGCAAAUAGAUUAAAUCCCCUUUGGAAAUAAAACCUUUGCUUAGUGGAGAAAAAUCAGUUAAUGUUUAUGGAUGGUUUUGAUGACAGUACUCGUGACAUUCCAUUUGAGGAACAUUUCUCAAGAUGGGACUUGAUUUGGCAAACUUUGAUAGCAGGACAUGAAUGUUCUGACACUUUAGAUGUUGAUGUAUGAGGAAGAGAAAUCGUUGAUGUGACCAAGUGAUUGUGAAGUGUAGUAUAUCAGUCUCUAGAGUUUUGUGGAAUUAAAAAUUAUGCAAACAAAGAAAAUCAUAGUACAGAUUAUCCCCUAUGUUGAACAAUAUAGAUAUGCAUACACAUAAUGUUGGCUAGCUAUCAGAACAACUCCUAAAAAUGUUUUGUUAAUGCUAGUUUUAUUUAAGAGUUCAAAUAAAUGCCAAGUUUUUAAAUUAUCCUACCCAUUCCCAGUCCCUCUUCCCACUGUGACCAAAAGUGGACUAGUUCCAGGAGAGCCUCAGUAGAUAACAAUAGCGUUUUAUUUUAUUUUGAAUGUUUCUGUCCCUGCAUUUUCAGCCCAUUCCAGGCCACCUGGAUCCUUGCUGCUAUUUCAUAAUAAGAGAGUCUGUUAAUUGUUCAGAUGUCUUUGAUAAAGGGCUGAUGUAGUUCAGACAAGUGAGCUGAGUCUCACCCUAACUCAUCUGAACCUACAGCUGCUGUUCUCUUUAAUUCCAAAACACUGACCCCUGGAGAAGUGGGAAGGAGAAUAUUCAAGCCUGGUCACCCUAGGGUUGGGCUAUAUGUUGAAGAAAGGACGCGAGUCUAGGAAUUAGGCAACACAGGUGUCUAGUAUUUGUUCUACCUUGUCUGUCUUUGGGAAACAUCAGUAGAUGUAUUCCCUCAUCAGAUGACCUCACUGCUGCUGCUGCUGCUAAGUUGCUUCAGUCGUGUCCGACGGGCCCCUUCAAAAGCUCAUGUCCUGCAGUUUCUCACUGUGGUACUCAGAGGCCAAAUAAAUGAUCUGAUGGUUUUCCAACCUCCUCUCCAAAGUGUCUUAUAAUAUUAAAGCAGAGUAUUUUGGUUGGCUCACAUUGGGAUCUGCUGAUGAAAUUGGAGGAGAACAUAUUACUAGGUUUUAGCUCUCUUAAAUGGAUGUGCUACUUUUUAUAUCCUCACCCUUUUUCAUCUCUGUUGUUUCUGGUUUUCUGAGGUUUGGGGCUAUAUGUACAUGGACAAUAAGGCUUUGCAUUUGUGAAGAAGCAAAACGGACCCACUGUGCUUUAGCAAACUUUAUUCUCAUUUGUUUCAUGAGGGUUUGUAAAUAUUGGGAGUUUUCUGACAACAUACUUAAGGGCACCUACUAUGUGCUGGAUCUGCUUUAGUUUCUAGGAAUUGAAAGACAUCUGUGGAGAGAGAGCCAUGAUAUCCAUGUAUUAAAAUUAUUAGACCUAUAUUUUCCUGUAUUCUUUUGGUACUAAGAAUUUGAUACAAACCAGCACUGUGAAUGAGCUUCAUUAUAUUUAGGAGAAUAAUUUCUCACUUCUUGGGGCUUUGCUACUAAUUUUAACAAUAAAUAGCUGUUUGCAGAA